CAAACCCUCAGCUGUGGGUCUCGCACCCACGGCCGGUCUUGAGCUCGGUCGCUUGCGGUCAAACGCGAGGCCGGCUUUAAAUUGGCAGCUCUGCGGUCAACGGCUUUGGAAGAACAUAGUAAAUCAUUCUUGUUCACACCCAUCAGCUGCUUGAUCCGCCUGAAGAACAAACCACAUCACAUCAAG
rnacentral:misc_RNA from 1 species